UUACCUCUUUACUAUUAAAGUGUAUUGCUCUCUGUUUAUGACUGAUAAUAGGACGUAACACAGGGAUGAGGAGAAAACAAUCAUUUGGAUCCUACACAACACGUUGUUGUACCUAAAUAAUUCCACAAGAGGGCGACAUAUAAACAUUUCUUAAAACCAAUUAACCUCUACUGCCUUCAGUCCAUGACGUCCCCGACUUACUAAAAGUCUGCGUCUGCAAAAAUGCUCUUUUAUCAUAACUCGACAUGAAAGUAGCAAAGCCAAAACAGUCAAUGACAUGCUUUUCGGGAUAUACAAUUAGCUAUGGUGUAAGAAAAGGUAAGUGAAAUAUAGGGGAAGGUAGAACAUGUUUUACAGUAAGUUUAAAGUUGUUAUCACCAAUUUAGCUCUGAUAGGCCUUUGGCAAUCCAAGCUUUUGGGAUCGUACUCAAGGCUACUUGGUUUAGGCCUGGCUAUAGCCUAGGGAUACAGUCCAAUAAUAUCUCCUUCUCCUGAAGUGUACACUCUCGUUCGCUUCUUCCUACAAAUCUAAAAUCAUUGGAUUGGUGGAGGCAUGGGCUAGAGAGGAAUAUGCUACCAAAUAGCACCUUAUUCCCUAAUGUAGGCCUACUUUUAAGGAAUGCACUAUAAGGAAUAGAUCAAUCAACUGGCUCACUAAAUGGGGUACCGAAAUACAUCCAAAAGAGGUCGACACGAAAUUAGACUAGGUUUAUUUCUGUUUUGACCUGCUGAGUCGCAGUGCUUAGUGAACAGAUUUCAAUGUGGGCCUAGCUGUAUCGAAAACGGUUGAUGGGGAAAGUGUGUAAUCUGAUCAAUAUAUUUCCCCCCCAAGAUUAAUGAGAGAAUGGGAAUGUGCAUAAAGGUCUAACAUUCCAUGACGUGGUAUGAAGUUCUUAAUUCGUCAGUGGCUGCAAUAUUGUCCUCAGUAAACUCAACAUGAGUGAAAACAACACAGAUAAGGACACGUUUUUCGAGAUAUAAAAAAUACUGUAUGCUAUUAUGGAUGAAGAAAAGGUAGGUUAAAUGACACUAAAUAUUUGGGAAUGUAACUAAGGAAAACGUCAUUUAAGAUAACAUAGUCUAUUGCAAAACAAAUGUCUAGUUCUCUCUAUUAAGUCAAUCACCAGUUUAGCUCUGAUAUGGCUGUAGCUCUAUGAUGUCCUUUGCAAGAAUCUAAUCUGACAUUGACAUGAAAUUCCUAUGUCCUUCAGGUAGUACAGAGAGAUGAUGAAGAUCCCCCGAGGGAGUGGAGGGAGGUUGUUGAGGAAGAACCAGUGGCCCAGCUCAAGAAGGAGCCCAAGAAGACAGGAAAGGCGAAGAGGAAAAGUAGUGCCAAGAAGUCAGGGGAGCAGGGCACUGAUACGGAUCCAGGUCAUAGAUUUUCCCUCUGUAGUAUGUUGGUUCUCUAAACUUGAAUAUCAUAGAUAAAGGUCAUGUUAGAAACUGGAGUCAGUAAGAAAUGUUGCAUGGAUAGUGUUAUUCAAUAGUCCUAUUGUAGCAAUUUUAUCGAAGUAUUGUAUUAAGAGAAAAGCGUCUGACUUAUCCUGAAUUGUCCUAUAUGGUAAUAACAUAUUUAGGAUUGAGGAAUAAACACCCGGACAGAGGAUCUGUUAUUGAGCUCUUGGAGAAGAAUGCUCUUAAGGCUGCACUCGGCCCAGGCAACAAAGAUGAGAUGGAGGACUGCUACCCAAUCCUCAUCUCGUUCAUGCGCAAUCUUACUGAUGAGCAAUGGCAAGUGAUCUAUAAAGGAUUUAAAAAACCUAUGACAAAGGAACAGCUUGCAAAAUUGUGCAAGACCAUUGUCAACUUCAUUGCACAGACCACCCUGCAGAUCCUGCUGCCGGCCCUGGCCCGCAUUCUAGGGGUGACGGGCUUUUAUGACAACGCUGACUCACUCAAGAGGGGUGGCAGUGCAAGAUCCUUCACUGCCUUUGAGUAGAAAAGACUGGAGCUCAUCCAGGAAGUUAAAUAUUUGGCGAAGUAACUGUGGCGGCAGGGAUCUCCGACCAAGGUCUAGCACACCCUCUUCCAAGAGUUCCCAGACCUCACUGAAAGUCCACCUGGGAAUGCCAGAGGACAGUAUCAUCAGCAGUGUCCAGGAGCAACUGUCAAAAUCUGACCAAAUGGUGGCUGCAGGACAGCUUUCACAAAUAGAUAAAGUGGUUGGAACUAUGCUGGAGAACAUUGAGAAGAUAAGCAGCGAAUGUGGCGAGGAAUUGGUCUAUCAAGAGUCACUGCGGUCUUCCUCCUCGUUGUCAUUCUCAACUGCCAAAUCACAGAAGACAGAGUGGGAAUUUGCACUCCCAUUCCUUCUGAGUUACCCGAGAGUACUGCUCAGCCCAUUGUAAGAUGCUCAGUCAUUGACAUGAGCGAAUCUUCUAAGCCAAAAACAAUGGUGUGUGAUGCCAGAACAAGCAUGUUUGCCAUAGCCGAUACCAUCAUGAAGAAGGUAUAUCCAGAGGCAGAAGGGCAGGUUACAUCUCACCCUGAUCUAACAGAUCCAAUAGCUAGACUGGAGGAGCUCAUAUCUCAGGGUAGGAUUGGUGCUCUCUCCCGUGAUCUCAGUCACCAAGUCAACCGCAUAAUUUCCGAUAGCAACUUGACCCCUCUGGGACUGACAGUGGCGGCUGGAAAGAGUGCAUCUGAUACCAUCCUUUCGAAGCUGAAGAGGAAUGACAAGGUGGGGAAGCCCACAACUUACAAGCUGGUUCAGCUGUUUGUAGAGGAGUCUGUUAAGUGCCUCCUGCUUCCUAGUUUUGUGCCCUAUUCAACUUCAAUGAGUUUGGCUCAGGGGGCCAAGGUGUUGGCUAGAGUGUCUGAAGAUAGAAUUUCAUGCUCUUCUUCUUCUUCAUCAGUAUUUAGUGACACAGUCAGUCUCUUUACCAAAGUUAUGGUAAGCCAGGUCAUGUACUCUGUGGAUUCUGAUGCAGAAAGUAGAGGAUCCUCUCCAACUGAAUCUCUCCAAACAUCUGAACCCACUAUAUCUGAUGUAGGCAAUCUAUUGAGUGGCAAGUCCUCCCCUCGGCUGUCUCCUUCUGGCACCAUUAUGGCAACAAGCGAGACCUCCAAUGCAGCACAAAUCUUGAAGGCCAACAUUGAUGGAGAGGAAGUGGAUACCACCAGUCAUUCUGGUGUAGCUCAAAACAUUGUCAGGGACGAUAUGUCAACCAGCCCAGACAUGGUCAAAGAUGUCACACUUCCAACCCCAUCCUCUGCGUGUUAGUAAUGAGAAUUCUAACAGAAAUCCAAACCCCAGCAGAAGAUUACCCAGUUGACGUCACACGCAAGUCACAAGACCUGAUCCCUAAAGUUAUGGAGGUCUUCUGUGCAUGGUCAGGCUGCUCUGAGACACAAGCCUAUCCAGAGAACUUGAGGAUUCAUAAAGUCUACAGAGUCGUCUAUAAAAAUCUGUUGGAGGAGUUUGGCUCGGAGAAAAUCCUCCAACAGGCCGUGUCGACUCAGGACUCUUCAUUUGAUAGGAUUCUUGUCAAGUCUUUGAGUGAAGCGCUUCUCCACAGAUGUAAUGAGGCAUUGAGGGCAGCCUCAAGAACAUCAGUCAAAACCACCGGGCCUAAGGCUCUUCCACUGGCUGAGGAUGUGAGGGCUAGCAGCGGGAAACUAUCUUUUCUACAAAGGCUGGUCAGGCUGACAAGCAACUUAAAGCUAUUCAAGAAGGGGAACAAGAAGGAUUCCCACCGCUCUGAAUCAGAACAAGUACAGACCACUGCUGAAGAUGGCAUGCUGCCCAGCAUAGUGCCACAUGCUGCCAUGUCUGCACUGCCAAAGGAUCUCCCCGCCAGCUCCCAACAGGAGACGCCUCACAAACGUCCACUUCUCGUCAGGAUGUUUUCUGCCAUCUACAAAGGCCUGUUCAAGCCCUUCAAACAGUCCUUAAAGACCAAGUAACUUCAGACAAUUUAUUAAACGUCAUUUAUUGCAAUAAAUUGGCCUUUGUCUUCUUA